UACGGGAUCCCGUCCGCUCUCCCAGAGUCAAGCCACUUGAGGGGCGGAUUAGUAGUUGGGUCGGAGAC
rnacentral:rRNA from 1 species